UACGGAGGGUGCAAGCGUUGUCCGGAUUUAUUGGGUUUAAAGGGUGCGUAGGUGGCUCUAUAAGUCAGUGGUGAAAGCCUGCAGCUUAACUGUAGGACUGCCAUUGAUACUGUAGAGCUUGAGUACUGAUGAGGUAGGCGGAAUUGAUAGUGUAGCGGUGAAAUGCAUAGAUAUUAUCAAGAACACCGAUUGCGAAGGCAGCUUACUAAGGAGUUACUGACACUGAGGCACGAAAGCGUGGGGAUCAAACAGG
rnacentral:rRNA from 1 species